rnacentral:rRNA from 1 species
AUACGGAGGAUCCGAGCGUUAUCCGGAUUUAUUGGGUUUAAAGGGUGCGCAGGCGGGAAGUUAGGUCGGCGGUGAAAUUUCGGGGCUCAACCCCGAGAGUGCCGUUGAAACCGGUUUUCUUGAGUGCGGAUGAGGUAGGCGGAAUUUGUGGUGUAGCGGUGAAAUGCGUAGAUAUCACAAGGAACACCGAUUGCGGAGGCAGCUUACUAAACCGUUACUGACGCUCAUGCACGAAGGCGUGGGGAUCAAACAGGAUUAGAUACCCUGGUAGUCCACGCAGUAAACGAUGAUUACUAGCUGUUUGCGAUACAUUGUAAGCGGCUGAGCGAAAGCGUUAAGUAAUCCACCUGGGGAGUACGUUCGCAAGAAUGAA